rnacentral:RNase_P_RNA from 1 species
UUAGUGGAGUGGCUUGUCGCUCGAUGGUUUCCAUCGAGAGGAAAGUCUGGGCAACAUAGAGCAUCACAUUUCUUAACGGGAAGCUAUGGGUGACUGUAGGGUUAAGGUGACAGAAAAUAACCGCCAGCCUCGGUUGGUAAGGGUGAAAAGGUGAGGUAAGAGCUCACCGGGCGUUAUGGUAACUUAGCGUGCCGCACUACCUGUGAGUUGCAAGGUCAAGUAUAUCGGCAUUUAAGGGUUGCUCGCCCAUUGUCG